rnacentral:rRNA from 1 species
GACGAACGCUGGCGGCGUGCUUAACACAUGCAAGUCGAACGGAAAGGCCCUGCUUUUGUGGGGUGCUCGAGUGGCGAACGGGUGAGUAACACGUGAGUAACCUGCCCUUGACUUUGGGAUAACUUCAGGAAACUGGGGCUAAUACCGGAUAGGAGCUCCUGCUGCAUGGUGGGGGUUGGAAAGUCUCGGCGGUUGGGGAUGGACUCGCGGCUUAUCAGCUUGUUGGUGGGGUAGUGGCUUACCAAGGCUUUGACGGGUAGCCGGCCUGAGAGGGUGACCGGCCACAUUGGGACUGAGAUACGGCCCAGACUCCUACGGGAGGCAGCAGUGGGGAAUAUUGCACAAUGGGCGGAAGCCUGAUGCAGCAACGCCGCGUGCGGGAUGACGGCCUUCGGGUUGUAAACCGCCUUCGCCUGUGACGAAGCGUGAGUGACGGUAAUGGGUAAAGAAGCACCGGCUAACUACGUG